rnacentral:rRNA from 2 species
CGCACCACUGGUGUUCGGGUUGUCAUGCCAAUGGCAUUGCCCGGUAGCUAAGUGCGGAAAAGAUAAGCGCUGAAAGCAUCUAAGCGCGAAACUUGCCUCAAGAUGAGUCUUCCCUGGGCCUUUAAGGUCCCUGAAGGAACGUUUAAGACUAAGACGUUGAUAGGCUGGGUGUGUAAGUGCAGCGAUGCAUUGAGCUAACCAGUACUAAUGAUCCGUGAGGCUUAACCUUACAACACCGAAGGUGUUU